UCUUUAUCCCAUGUUUUCUGAUUAUCAGUGUUAGUUAGAUUUAACAUUGUGUUGAGGUUUAAUUUGAAGAAUGUUUUUACUGAUUUUUUGAAUCUUGCAUGAAAAUAUAGCUUACUUUCGCCUAAAAUUUUAAGCUAAAUAGUGAUUAAUUGUUACACCUCUAUUCUGCGUAUUUGGCUUUGCUGUUUUCAUGGUUUAUUCGUCAUUUUUAUCUGUUUUUGGUCUUCCAGUAAGAAUGUAUUUGAGUUUGUUAUUUGACAUACUGCAUCCGUACUUGCACCAGAGGUGUUUGAGAAAUCGCCCGAAAGAAGAAACUACUAAUCUUUUUGGGCUCUGUUAGGACGCUCUUAAAUCCAGAUUGUCUGAUAAAAAAUAGCUUUGAAUAUGAUGGGCAACUUCCCAUUAAAGGUGCGCUGUUCUAUGACAGUUUGAAAAUUUCAUUCUCCAGCAGAGAUAAUCUCUGAAAAUGAAUUUAGUAUUCGAAAGUUGUGUUUGCUAGCCAUAGUUCAGCUAACAAGGUUGUUUAUUAUCGCCAAUUAUUUGAUAGCAGUUUCUGGUAUUGCAGAGGACGGAACGUGACUUUUCAAGAGAAUUGGAGCUUUUUCACACUUUCCUGGUGUCUAUUCUGAACUUAGAGGUCAUACAUGAUGAGUUAACUAAGUCAUGCACACUUGCAAGCCACUGCUAAUUAGCAAGUAGCUCAUUUGAGUGGAACUUCCUCAACUCAAGUAAUAUCUAAUGCACUCUUGACUGAUACUGGCUGCUGUUACGUUAGUAGAUUAAAAUUCUGCUCUAACUGGUUUUGUAUGAAAAUUAACUCCCCAGGAAAAUAUGGAAAAGAUGAAAGCUGGUGCACUAACAAAGUUUUUUCUCUACAUGGUCAUGAACAUUUGUUCUUGCAUUUAACCCUCAUAUCCCUCCACUUCACUCUCCUAUUUAUCUGUUGUAAGUUCAAUUCUAGAAAAAGAGUUUCCCUAUUGAGCUCUUAGAUUUCCUUUUAGUCUUCAAUAUGUUGCAAUAAAUUGAAGUGAUUAUGUUUCUUAUUUUAUUUUUGAAUUCAUGAAGAAUUAUUAUUACUACAGUAAGAAAGUUUUUGCAGAAAAGUGUAAACAAUUUUUUUUAUGAAAGUAGCUUAUAAAGUAGAAACUUUGGAGGAAAUUGACAAAAAUAUAUGCCCUCUACUUAGACAUUAAUUAACUUUUUAUUUUUAAUUUGGCUCGAUUACUCUGAAAAAUCAAGAAUCUGCUGCUAGAGAGUGAAAGAUAUCACUGAAAGUUUCCUCAACGAACUAAUAAAAUAUUAGGGAACUUAAAGAGAAGCAGGCACUCCAAUUCUUCAAUGGAGAAAGGAAGGUCAAGAAAGACAAAGAGGCCAAGAAAGAUCCUAAUAAGCUUAACAGGCCUACCAAUGCCUUCUUCAUAUUCCUCUAGGCUUUGUUUUCUUAUAAUAAGUUUAGAUUCAGUGGUGUAGUACAGUUGUGUGAUGUAACCGACAAAUGGUCAUGUAUGCUACUGCAGUUAGGAAUUCAGGAAGACAUUUAGAAAGGGAAAUCCCAAUGUGAAUUUGUGGGAAAGUAAAAAUUCAAGUUUAGAGCUUCAAGUUAUUGGUUAUUUGAGUUGGUGUCUGGAAAUUUGCAUUCUGAAGGCCUCUUUCCCAUUGGUUUGAAGAUUUGCAGACCUUUUAUGAUAGUUAUGAUAGUUUAAAUAUUCCAACUUCUGCAGCAUCACUACUCUGCAAGUAGUGGCUUAGCGAGUAAGAUACAAUCAAGAUUCUUCUGUGGCUUUUUUUUUUUUUUUUUUUUACAUCAGCUUCAGUAGAUUAAGCUCUGAAAUAAAUGACUUCUUAAGAAAGGUAAGACGAACUACAUUGCAUCCAUAAUUACUUCUAUGACAGUAGAUUAGAUUUGGUACAAGUAUAUAUAUUUUAAUAUUCACAACUAUUUUAAUAUUUUAAUGUUUUUUCUUUUAGUUCAGGGUAUAGUGAAACUAAAUUGUGAACCUUCGAUCUCUAAUUUUGCAACAGAGGAAUGGCAGUGGCUUCUCUCAACUCCUUCUCUGAGGAACAUCUGGACAAGGUAAAGUAUGUAAAUAGAAUUUCUUUAAAGAGAAUGAUUUGAGUCUAUUAAAGUAUUUUUUACUCCGAUUUUGUGCCAGAAGUAGUAGGGCUAUUUUUGAGUCUAUUAAAAUUAUUUUUCUUCUGUGCGAGUACUCAUUUGAGGUAAUUUCUUUGACCUUUUAUAUGAAGUUCAUAUUUGUUUGACGGCCGGCUGAUUUUUGGUUAAUUACCUAUUAAACUUAUGUGGAAUUACUGUUUUUCCCGGAGAAUUUAUUAACUGCUUUUGGUGUGCAAUACAACCAGUGCGUCUUACGACAUUCUUUUUUACCAUUCUCUGGGUGUAAAUCAUGUGGGAAUAUAAUGGGCAAUGUCACAUUGCAUAUGUCGAACUAUUUGCCAUUAGCAUUAGCAUGUACGCCUAAUCAUUUGAAUAGUAAUAAAUAGCAGGUACGCCUAAUGCCUUUCUAAUUAAGGUUAGAAAGGUUAACAAAGUUUCAAUGGUGUGCAUAUCUCCAGUUGCAUGUUCUUAUAUAUAUAUAUGAUAAGUUGCAUAAAUGGUUAGGUCCUUUCCACUUUAACUGGACCUUUGUGCUUUACCUUUAUUGCAUCUUCUCAUUUUUUCCUAAGCAUAAAAUUUAUCCUUUCUGUUCCUUUUCUCUGUUAUGCCUUUGCAGUUUUUCACCUCAUUUUUCUGGAAAGUCUUUCACAUGAUGGUAGCAGCUUCAUAUGUGAAAUGGCUUUUCAAAAUUUAUCUUUUUUAUGUAGUCAUAUUAGUGAUCUUCUUACAGAAUCUUAUAUAAGCAGAAGUAAAGAUAAAGUUGCUUUCACACUCUUUUGCUAAAAAUUAAUUUAUUUUCCCUUGACCUUGAUCCACAUCAGAAGCAUAAAUAUACUUGCACAAAUUCAUCUAUGGUGUUUUCCAAAGAAAUCUUCUUUCCGGCACGCAGGAGUUCCAUGGAGCUCUUAAAAGGCCUCAAAAGUCUAAAAGCUAUAAACUUCCAUUUAGCUAUGUAUGUUGUCUUGAUGCUAUGAAUUGGAAUUAUUUUCAUGGUUAUCAUGCUUGAAUUUUAAUUAUAUGUCGACAUGAUUUAUUAUUCAUUACAGAAGAAAAGGGUUGUCUAAGCCAUUGAUAAGCUGGAGAGCAAAACAAAACACUUUGUUUACCUCUAGAUUAGCAUUCAACAACUUAAAAGGGUAAAAAAAAACUCAAUUCUUUGAAAAAAUAUGUGUGUGUGUGUGUAUCUAUAUGUAUGAAUGAAUUCCUCUUCACAAGAAGGAAUUCUCUAGCUGACCAAGCUUUCAGUAGUUCCUUCUUGUUAACACCAUAACUUUGUUUGGUUAGACAGCAGCAGGGUGGCUUUUGGAUUUGUCAAAAGGGACACAAGCUCAUCUCUUAGCUUCUGACCAAUGUGAAAUGACUGGAAUUUUUCACAAAAUUCCCUCUCAAUAACAAAAUGUGCUCAAUAUUUCUCUUGAUCCUUCCGUUACCUCACCAGUUAUCGAUACAGUAAAAGACUCAAUCAGAAACCUGAUAUAUUCCGCUAGUAGAAAUACUAAAAAAUAUCCGCUGUGAAUGAGGCUUACUUCUUGUAAGAAAUCUGCUACUCCUUUUAUUUCAGGGCAAUUGAAUUCAUGUACUCGAAGAACUGUAUAUUCUAAAAUGUUUCCACGAGAAUCUUGGUAAACAAUUUAUCCAUCUGAUAGUAGAGCUAUGUCAUCAAGUAAGUCAUAAGUUUUUGGUGCAGGCUGUAGGAGUGAGAUCACAUUAGUUCCGUUAGACUGCAUUGCAGCAAUGCUUGUUAUGGACGGGGUUCUAAUUUGUUUCUGGUCUCAGCUCUCAAUUUCGGGUGAUCGAGGUAUCCUUCAUGAAGAAAAUUCAUGGUCAUUCAUGUUCAGAAAAUUCAGCUGUACCAAUGGGUCAAACAUCUGCCGGCAUCCGGUAGUCACUGCUAUUUACGUGUCCAUAGAAUAGGUACCGACUGCAUCACCUAUGUGAGCUUUUCGUCUUCGUCCAAAAUUUUCUUCAGCUUUAUCCCCUCUUCCAGAUUUUUCGUUUCAAUCAUCUUCUGCGCUGGGUCUGGCAUUAUUCAGGUUACUAUUUUCUUUGCCGGUCUUGUUUGUUAGAUCUUCCUACACCCUUUUCUGCUGUCUUUCAUACUUCUACGGCGGGAAUCAUAUAGAUCAAUUAUGUUCCCUCUUUUCUCACGUACCCUUGUGGCCCAAAAUCUUCCAGCGACCGCCUUUUCAAUGAUGUGAAUAUGCGGUGAACUACAUGUGUCAGAAUUUGCUUUGCUUUUGGAACUUGUGAGUUGUUCUGUUUUAGUAGCCGGUUUUUUCGCCUCUAAAUAUUAGGAGCGCUAAAAGAGAAGUUUCUUAUUUAGCAUUUUGAAAUAGUGGAAGAAUCUGAGUAUUAUGAUUUCUGUAGAAUAGAUAUGGGGAGCCUAUUAUCCCGGGCUUUCGAAUUUCCUUCUUAAUCUUUUACUUUCUAAAUUUGAUUUUUUACCUUUGCUUAGUGAUUGCUUUUAUUUUAGUUCGUUAUACUUCAAGUUUCAUCUGUUUGUACUUUUAAAAUCUGCUAUAUGGAUCCAAUUAUAUAAUUAUUGGGAUUUAGAGAUUAAGGUGUAUUCUUUUUUUUUUUUCCUCAUUUGGUAAUUUGUUACACUAAUAUUCAUUCGAUAUGAAGUACAAAUGGUGUAGAAACUGUCUCAUCCUUUAUGGCCUGUUGAAGAAAUAUUUGGCAAUAAACAUGCUCACUAGAUCCAAGUUUCAUCAGAUUGUAUGUGGAGUUAAAAUUAUUAGAAGUGAAAAGUUUUUUUUUCCCAAGAUAGUUUUUCCAGUUUCUAUGGAACCAAAGAAGCAGCAGAAGAAAAAUUCAGCAGAAACAGCUACUAAAGUUUCAUCUAAUCGGGGCUCUACCUUUCAACUCUUGCUGCUUGUUGUUCUCAGUCUCUCUUUUUUUUUUUUUUCUUUUUUUUCUUUUCCAGUAGUACUUCAUUAAAGUAAAGAGAAUUGAAGAAGCCUAAACAAAUGGCGAGUUUGGGGGUCCAUGCUACCAUAGGAUAUUCUUCUUUAAGGUAGAGUCUAUGUUCUAUGCUAAUGAAGAAAACUAAAGGGUAUCUUUUAGAUCUCUGAAGAGAGACGAAUUUCGUUUACAAUUUUAAGUUGAUUGGUGAUACAUUACCCUAUAGUGUCAAAGCUGAUAACUGGCUAUCCAUUUCAGGAAAGGGAAUGUAGAGUUACCCUCGAACUUGAUCACGAUAUUGAUGCAAGAUCUUCCUGCUUGCCUGGAGAUAAUGAAAAGAUAUUUGAAGAAGUGGAUGGUACCUGCUGGUUACAAGUUUUCAGAAUUUCAAUAGAAUCUUUGUUUCUUCAGAGUGUUUGCACAUUUUGAGAGAUCGAACUAAAGAGCAUUAGGAAGUCUAAGCCGGAGCUACCAACAUUUCCAAAGCGUGAACUUCCAACGUUGCCAAAACUCGAGAUGCCUGCUAUUCCUAAGCCUGAGCUACCAACUUUGCUAAAAUCAUUUGCAGCUUCCCUUUUGGAACGUUUAUUUGUGUGAUUUUUCUGUUAUCAGAGCAGCCACCUUUCAGAAUAUAUAUUUAUGUGAUUGUUCUAUCAUCAGUAAUUUCCAAGUUCACAUUUAUAUUAUUUUUAUACGCUAAAUCUUGAAUUUUUUAGGUGGCCUGUGACUGGUGAUUUACUUUGUUUAUUUCUUAAUCUCCAAUAAUUGGUGACUAAAUAGAGGUGAUUUUCCACAUUCGAUACACUAUGCAGUAUAUGACCGACCAUUAUUUCUCGAUUUUGUUACCAGUGAAAGAUCCGCUACUGUUUUGCAAUAUGGUUGGCUUUUUUAAUGCACUUGACUCUACUUUUGGUUCUACUUGUUGGGUAUUUCAAUGUACAUCUUCACUAUUGCCUCCACGUUCGCUGCAUGCUCAGGUUAGCUCAUCUGUUCGACUGUCAUUUUUUCUAGCUUUUGUUAGAUGAUCUACUGAUAAUUGACUUAGCAAAUGUCUAUCUUUGUGAUGAGUUCAAGCACACAAAUAUUUGAUGACAACAUAUGAUUUGCUUUAGUUAUGAAUAUGCUCAUUUUCUCUUAAAAAUAUGUAUACAUAUUGAAGCUCUUCCCAUUUGUUUUAGUUGUGUUAUGUUUCCUUUGACUACUAUUAUCUUAAUAUCAUGCAUUACUCUACCGGUAAUUUCUGCCGAA